GGGAAUAUUGGACAAUGGGCGAAAGCCUGAUCCAGCAAUGCCGCGUGAGUGAUGAAGGCCUUAGGGUUGUAAAGCUCUUUUACCCGGGAUGAUAAUGACAGUACCGGGAGAAUAAGCCCCGGCUACCUCCGUGCCAGCAGCCGCGGUAAUACGGAGGGGGCUAGCGUUGUUCGGAAUUACUGGGCGUAAAGCGCGCGUAGGCGGCUUUGUAAGUUAGAGGUGAAAGCCCGGAGCUCAACUUCGGAAUUGCCUUUAAGACUGCAUCGCUUGAACACGGGAGAGGUGAGUGGAAUUCCGAGUGUAGAGGUGAAAUUCGUAGAUAUUCGGAAGAACACCAGUGGCGAAGGCGACUCACUGGACCGUUGUUGACGCUGAGGUGCGAAAGCGUGGGGAGCAAACAG
rnacentral:rRNA from 1 species